UACGUAGGGUGCGAGCGUUGUCCGGAAUUAUUGGGCGUAAAGGGCUCGUAGGCGGUUUGUCGCGUCGGGAGUGAAAUCCACUGGCUUAACUGGUGGCUUGCUUUCGAUACGGGCAGACUGGAGGUAUGCAGGGGAGAACGGAAUUCCUGGUGUAGCGGUGAAAUGCGCAGAUAUCAGGAGGAACACCGGUGGCGAAGGCGGUUCUCUGGGCCUUACCUGACGCUGAGAAGCGAAAGCAUGGGGAGCGAACAGG
rnacentral:rRNA from 1 species